rnacentral:rRNA from 1 species
UACGUAGGUGGCAAGCGUUUUCCGGAAUUAUUGGGCGUAAAGCGCGCGCAGGCGGUCCUUUAAGUCUGAUGUGAAAGCCCACGGCUCAACCGUGGAGGGUCAUUGGAAACUGGGGGACUUGAGUACAGAAGAGAAGAGUGGAAUUCCACGUGUAGCGGUGAAAUGCGUAGAGAUGUGGAGGAACACCAGUGGCGAAGGCGACUCUUUGGUCUGUAACUGACGCUGAGGCGCGAAAGCGUGGGGAGCAAACAGG